UACGGAGGGGGCUAGCGUUGUUCGGAAUUACUGGGCGUAAAGCGCGCGUAGGCGGACCUGCAAGUCGGGGGUGAAAGCCCGAGGCUCAACCUCGGAACUGCCUUCGAUACUGCGGGUCUCGAGUCCGGGAGAGGUGAGUGGAAUUCCUAGUGUAGAGGUGAAAUUCGUAGAUAAUUAGGAAGAACACCAGUGGACGGCAA
rnacentral:rRNA from 1 species